rnacentral:rRNA from 1 species
GACGAACGCUGGCGGCGUGCUUAACACAUGCAAGUCGAACGGUGAAGCGCCUUCCUUUUUGGUGGGUGUGGAUGAGUGGCGAACGGGUGAGUAACACGUGAGUAACCUGCCCCCUUCUUCUGGAUAACCGCAUGAAAGUGUGGCUAAUACGGGAUAUUCUGGGUCUGUCGCAUGAUGGGUCUGGGAAAGAUAUUGUUUCGGUGGGGGAUGGGCUCGCGGCCUAUCAGCUUGUUGGUGGGGUGAUGGCCUACCAAGGCGGUGACGGGUAGCCGGCCUGAGAGGGUGGACGGUCACACGGGGACUGAGACACGGCCCAGACUCCUACGGGAGGCAGCAGUGGGGAAUAUUGCACAAUGGGCGCAAGCCUGAUGCAGCGACGCCGCGUGAGGGAUGGAGGCCUUCGGGUGGUGAACCUCUUUCGCCAGUGAAGCAGGCCUGCCUCGUUUGUGGGUGGGUUGACGGUAGCUGGAUAAGAAGCGCCGGCUAACUACGU